rnacentral:rRNA from 1 species
CCCUUAGAUGUUCUGGGCUGCACGCGCGCUACACUGACACACUCAGCGAGUCUCCUGGUCCGAGAGGAUUGGGUAAUCAUGUGAGCGUGUGUCGUGAUGGGGAUAGAAUAUUGUAAUUAUUACUCUUCAACGAGGAAUUCCUAGUAAGCGCGAGUCAGCAGCUCGCGCUGAUUACGUCCCUGCCCUUUGUACACACCGCCCGUCGCUCCUACCAAUGGGCGAUCCGGUGAAUGACUCGGACUCUGGAAUUAGCUAUUUAUAGCUUUUAUCCGGAGGAAGUUUUGUGAACCUUAUCACUUGGAGGAAGGAGAAGUCGUAACA